GUUAAAGUAUUAGAAAGAGAUAAGAUGUGGGAUGCGGAAUGGAAAAAGCGAUGAUAAGAUUGUUACCUCAAAUAAUCACGAGUUGGUUUUCUUUCCUUCCCGCCAUACAGUAUGCCAACUGAUCUCCCCGCACAAAGUUCCCACUGACACCGCGCUAAGAAGGCGACUGUUAUUCAAUGGCCCAGAGCCGAAACGCAAGCGGUAAUGAGCAAACUGGGCCGGCCAGCGAUGGAAAUGCUCCAUUAACUCGAAAAGUGAUUCCACAUUUCGUAUCGUGGGUGGCUUUUGUCGCUUGUCUAUUCUACGUCUACUAUUACGAAAUAGUGUAGCAAUGGCAUUGUCUGCUGAACAUCUAGUAUCGUCGAAAAUAAAAGAAUUCAAUAGCUAGAAAUGAAAAUGACUAUUUCGGCCCUCAUAUUGUCGUCAGCAAUAAAAUAAAGACAGUAAAAUGAACUGGAAAAAAGUUACACUCGAGAACUUUCAUUACGACUCUAUAAAGCGUCAAUAAAAAUAACAAAUAAACCAUCACGGA